CGGAGGGCGCGAGCGUUACCCAGAUUUACUGGGCGUAAAGGGCGUGUAGGCGGCUUGGGGCGUCCCAUGUGAAAGACCACGGCUCAACCGUGGGGGAGCGUGGGAUACGCUCAGGCUAGACGGCGGGAGGGGGUGGUGGAAUUCCCGGAGUAGCGGUGAAAUGCGCAGAUACCGGGAGGAACGCCGAUGGCAAGGCAGCCACUGGCUCGUCGUGACGCUGAGGCGCGAAAGCGUGGGGAGCAAACCGGAUU
rnacentral:rRNA from 1 species